rnacentral:rRNA from 1 species
AGUGAACGCUGGCGGUAGGCCUAACACAUGCAAGUCGAACGGCAGCACAGUAAGAGCUUGCUCUUACGGGUGGCGAGUGGCGGACGGGUGAGGAAUAUAUCGGAAUCUACUUUUUCGUGGGGGAUAACGUAGGGAAACUUACGCUAAUACCGCAUACGACCUACGGGUGAAAGCAGGGGAUCUUCGGACCUUGCGCGAUUGAAUGAGCCGAUGUCGGAUUAGCUAGUUGGCGGGGUAAAGGCCCACCAAGGCGACGAUCCGUAGCUGGUCUGAGAGGAGGAUCAGCCACACUGGAACUGAGACACGGUCCAGACUCCUACGGGAGGGAGCAGUGGGGAAUAUUGGACAAUGGGCGCAAGCCUGAUCCAGCCAUACCGCGUGGGUGAAGAAGGCCUUCGGGUUGUAAAGCCCUUUUGUUGGGGAAGAAAAGCAGCAGGUUAAUACCCCGCUGUUCUGACGGUACCCAAAGAAUAAGCACCGGCUAACUUCGUG